rnacentral:rRNA from 1 species
GAUGAACGCUGGCGGCGUGCCUAAUACAUGCAAGUCGAGCGAACGGACGAGAAGCUUGCUUCUCUGAUGUUAGCGGCGGACGGGUGAGUAACACGUGGAUAACCUACCUAUAAGACUGGGAUAACUACGGGAAACCGGAGCUAAUACCGGAUAAUAUUUUGAACCGCAUGGUUCAAAAGUGAAAGACGGUCUUGCUGUCACUUAUAGAUGGAUCCGCGCUGCAUUAGCUAGUUGGUAAGGUAACGGCUUACCAAGGCAACGAUGCAUAGCCGACCUGAGAGGGUGAUCAGCCACACUGGAACUGAGACACGGUCCAGACUCCUACGGGAGGCAGCAGUAGGGAAUCUUCCGCAAUGGGCGAAAGCCUGACGGAGCAACGCCGCGUGAGUGAUGAAGGUCUUCGGAUCGUAAAACUCUGUUAGUAGGGAAGAACAUAUGUGUAAGUAACUGUGCACAUCUUGACGGUACCUAAUCAGAAAGCCACGGCUAACUACGUG